UUGGAGCCUGGCCUAUCCAGGCCUCCGUCGAAGACCGCAGGCGUCUCGCAAGAGGCUUAAUCCCCUGCGUAGAC
rnacentral:sRNA from 1 species